UGUCAGCAACUAAGGGGGAAGGAGCUCUCAUAGUAGAAGCUACUUGGAGAUGCUUGGCUGGCUGUUCUGAUGCUGAGUCCAUUCUUCAAGGAACCAAUUAUAUGAUACUUGGAGGGUGCUAGAUCCAGGCUGUACAGAGGAUGGAGCAGCACAGUUCAGCCAGAUGAUGAGAUUGCCUCUCUGAUUCACAAGCUGAUGUGUGGGGUCACCAUUUGUCAGCAGUGUUAUAGCAAUGAAGUUUGGUGCCCAGGGCAAAGCCCGCAACAGCAGUCUGCCCUCACCCCACACACAGAUCCAGGGGGCACAUCCUCCCAUGCUUUCCCAGGAGUGGAUGGAGCAGGACCCGCCUUUCCUCCAUCCUUGUGCCCCUCCAAAAGGAGCCAGUUUCAGCUCCAUCCAGUGCCUUGCCCCAGCUGGGCAGUGCCUGUUGGCUGCCCUUUGCUUCAGUGCCCGGAGCAGUCUCCCUGCUCACCCCUACCUAAGGCACUGUAUAUCAGUCAUAAUGGAAGUCCACAAUAGAUUGUGCUUUCAUUAUAAAGUCAAUGUUUAUUUAUUAAA